CCUACGGGUGGCAGCAGUGGGGAAUAUUGCACAAUGGGGGAAACCCUGAUGCAGCGACGCCGCGUGAGUGAGGAAGUCUCUCUGUAUGUAAAGCUCUAUCAGCAGGGAAGAAAAUGACGGUACCUGACUAAGAAGCCCCGGCGCACUACGAGCCAGCAGCCGCGGUAGUACGCAGGGGGCAAGCGUAAUCCGGAUUUACUGGGUGUAAAGGGAGCGUAGUCGGGUAAUCAAGUCAGAAGUGAAAACCCGGGGCUCAACCUUGGGACUGCUGUGGAAACUGAGUAGCUUGCGUGCAGGAGAGGUAGGCGGAAUUCCUGGUGUAGCGGUGAAAUGCGUAGAUAUCAGGAGGAACCCCGGUGGCGAAGGCAGCUUACUGGACUGUAACUGACGUUGCGGCUCGAAAGCGUGGGGAGCAAACAGGAUUAGAUACCCCAGUAGUC
rnacentral:rRNA from 1 species